GAGAAGUGAAGGAUUUCAGCCCACUUGGAAGACAAGUUAAUUUACUGCACCAUCCAAUUUUAAUGCUUUUAAGAGACUGGAAGGACUGAAGUUCAUUGAAUAAAUAGAUCAAUUCUUCACAAUUAAGGAUUUCCAGUCUUUGAAGCAAUGGAAGAUCACUUAACGGAAUUUUUGUCAACAAAGCACAAUAACUAAUGCUCAAUUCUUCAAGACAAGAAAACACAGCUGUUUCGCCUCCUUUAUCUACAGUUGGUGCCUCCCAUUCAACUAAAUUCGGCAUAUAACUCAAAAAUAAUUUCUUUAAUGCUGGAAAAGGUCCCCGUUGUCCAUUGCUUCCAGUGUCAAUUCCAUAGAAUUCAUUCUCUAUACGUCUGAUCAUAUUCAUUUUUUCUAUUUUGAGCAUUUUAAGACGAGGAAGAUGUCCA
rnacentral:misc_RNA from 1 species